GCCUGGCUAGCUCAGUCGGUAGAGCAUGAGACUCUUAAUCUCAGGGUCAUGGGUUCAAGCCCCAUGUUGGGUG
rnacentral:tRNA from 1 species